rnacentral:rRNA from 1 species
AUGAGUUCACUCUCCCCCAACUCCAUCCAGCAGGCAGCCGCACACAUCCGCCGCCGCCGCGAGGGUUCCCGGCGGCCACCUCUUCUGCCGACCGGUCAGGAGAUGCCGUCACCUCUGACGGACUUCCCCGGCCACCUACUGGCCGAGAUCUUCCUCCGGCUGCCCGACCCGGGUCACCCGGCUGACCUCGCCCGCGCCUCCGCGGCCUGCGUCACCUUCCGCCGGCUAGCCACCGACGGCUCCUUCCUCCGUGCCUUCCGCGGCCUCCACGCCCCGCUCCACCUCGUGCUCCUCAACCUCGGCGGGUUCCACCCAGCCUUCCCGCCUCACCCCUCCGCGCCCACCGCCCGCGCGCUCGCCCUCGUCGCCGACUUCAAGUUCUCCUUCCUCCCCUCCCACCGCCAAUGGAUCGUGUGGGACGUCCGCGACGGCCGCGUCCUCCUCUCCCGCAAGAUCGCAGAGGACGGGCAGCCCCGAGUCUUCCCGGAGCUCGCGGUGUGCGACCCCUUGCACCGGCGGUAUGUCCUGCUUCCCCCGGUACCUGACGACCUAGCCGCUUCGGUGGAGCACCGGCUCCCCCAUCCUUUCCUCGCUCCCCUCGGCGAGGAGGAGGAGGCGGCGCCAACAGAAGAGACGGCAUUCAGGGUGAUCUGUUUGGCACUUGGCAAAACUAAGCUGGCAGCCUUCGCCUUCUCUUCAAGCACGGGACAAUGGCGAGAUGCUGCGUCCAAGGAUUUGAGUGAUUUGGGCCUUGGCAUGCGUGACUCAGACAUGAUUUCAUGGAUGAACCCUUUUUACCUCAGGCGCCAUUAUGCUUAUGGCUGCUUCUACUGGGAUUUUCUCGUGGUCAAGCGGAAUCUGUUGCUCGUGCUUGACAUCAGGAGGAUGGAGUUCUCCAUUGCAGAACUCCCACCCGGUGGAUGGUAUAGGGAAGGUGUAGCCAUCGUUGAGGCAGGGGAAGGCAGGCUUGGGAUGUUUGGUCUCCGUGGUGAAAACGAAAUUGCAUCUGAUCUCACUUAUGCCGCCAUUGUGCGAAACAGAGAAUCCCUGCCAGGUUCACCUAUAGAGAAGCCACUCCUUGAGUAUUUCACAAUGGACAUCGAGACAUUGCAGCUUCAGAGGGUUUGUGCGAAACGGUUCAAGCUCAGGCUACCCAUGUCAAGCAUAUAUGCCUACUUUUUUCAAACCGGGAUAUAUACCAACUUUCCACCAUCGUUGUUACCUCCACGGACAGUAUGA